AUUGAACGCUGGCGGCAGGCCUAACACACGCAAGUCGAACGGUAACAGGAAGCAGCUUGCUGCUUUGCUGACGAGUGGCGGACGGGUGAGUAAUGUCUGGGAAACUGCCUGAUGGAGGGGGAUAACUACUGGAAACGGUAGCUAAUACCGCAUAACGUCGCAAGACCAAAGAGGGGGACCUUAGGGCCUCUUGCCAUCGGAUGUGCCCAGAUGGGAUUAGCUAGUAGGUGGGGUAACGGCUCACCUAGGCGACGAUCCCUAGCUGGUCUGAGAGGAUGACCAGCCACACUGGAACUGAGACACGGUCCAGACUCCUACGGGAGGCAGCAGUGGGGAAUAUUGCACAAUGGGCGCAAGCCUGAUGCAGCCAUGCCGCGUGUAUGAAGAAGGCCUUCGGGUUGUAAAGUACUUUCAGCGGGGAGGAAGGGAGUAAAGUUAAUACCUUUGCUCAUUGACGUUACCCGCAGAAGAAGCACCGGCUAACUCCGUG
rnacentral:rRNA from 1 species